GGGCUGGAAAUGUCACCAGAACAAAGGUUGCUCAGGAGGUUUGCACGCGGGCCUUUCCGCUGUGCAGGGCUUUGGGAAGUUCUGCAGCCUCUCGUCUUUUUUCACGUUGUCAUCGGGAAGGGAACUGUGCUCUGAAGGCACUCUUGAAAGCAAUCCCUGGGGUUCCCAGGGAGCUCGGUGUGGCAGAGGGAGCCCCGGUUACAGAGCGGCCUUUGUGGAGCAGGUCCGUGGGCUCUCCGCCACCGGCGCCGCGGGGGAGCCUUGUAAUAAUGACACCGGCAUCGACCAGAUGUCUUCUGGAGGAUUUGGUUUCAGGACGCAGGGCUGCUAGUUCAGGAGGACGUGUGUGUGGGGUUUCUGCUCUAAUAUACAUGAUUUGUUUAAAAA